rnacentral:rRNA from 1 species
UACAGAGGUCCCGAGCGUUGUUCGGAUUCAUUGGGCGUAAAGGGUGCGUAGGCGGCUUGCUAAGUUUGAUGUGAAAUCCUGGGGCUCAACCCUGGGACUGCCAAGUUGAAUAGGACUGGCAGGCUAGAGUACUGGAGAGGAAACUGGAAUUUACGGUGUAGCAGUGAAAUGCGUAGAGAUCGUAAGGAAGACCAGUGGCGAAGGCGAGUUUCUGGACAGUUACUGACGCUGAGGCACGAAGGCCAGGGGAGCAAACGGG